AUGACGAUGACCCACAAGCUAUUUUUCAGUCUGAUCCUUCAAGUUCUGUCAACCCCAACACCAGUUCCUGGAAUGACUAUGACCCACAAGCUAUUUUAGAAACUGCCGAGCUUCACCAAAGCAAUCAAGCUGUAGGAUGUGAAACAAAUGAUUCUAGUGAGAAGUGUGCCGUAACAGUCAUGCAGACCGAUAAUGUCGGUGGACAAAGGAAAUGGGACAAAAAACACUAUUGCUUUUACUGUGAUGAGCCUCAGGCCAAGUUACCCCGUCAUCUUCAGUUGCAUCACAAAGAGGAGAGGGAAGUUGUAGAGAUAGCAUCGGAGACUGACUUUACUGCCCGCAAGAAACUUCUGUUAUACAUCCGCAAUAUUGGUAAUCACAGACACAAUUGCCAAGUCCUUAGAGAGGGAAAGGGUGUCCUUAUUAUAGUAUACAGACCAAAUCAUGAAGCAUCUCCACACGCAUAUGGACCAUGCAUACAUUGUUAUGGCUAUUACGUGCGUCUUGAUCUUUGGCGUCAUCAGUGCCCACUUAAGCCUGCUCUCCCUGCACAGACUGAUGGUAGCAGUAGGAUAGGUCGUGUUAGGGGGCGAGUAGCUAACAAUAGUGAUUUGUUAAAACCACCCCCUGCUGGUGUAUCUUUCCAGUUAAACAAGGUUCUUAGUUCUAUGAGGAGAGACAAUGUUGGUCUGGUUGUCAAGAAUGAUUCUUUGAUUCUGGAAGUUGCCAAACGUGAAUACCUCAGACUUGGCCACGAUGUUACACAACAUGGCUACAUUCGGAACAAACUACGAGAACUUGGUCGUCUUGUUAUACAACUGAGAAAAAACACCCACCAACCAAAUGCAUCACUGGAAGUAUUCGUGCAUCCCCGCCAUCUGAAUGAUAUCGUCAAGGCUGUUCAUGAUGUCGCCGGCUUCAGUGAAGGAAAACAGAUGUAUCACGUUCCAUCUCUAGCACUCAAGAUUGGACACUCCAUCAAGAGAUGUGCACUCAUACUGCAAGCAAGUGCUUUAGAGUUUAAUCUUAGGCAAAAAGCGGAACAGACCGAACAGUUUAGGCAGUUAUGUGAAAUUAAGUGGCCAGAACUUGUGUCAACCCAUGCCCACAGAACACUGUACCAAGGAAAGCGCAACAAACGUGCUGAUCUCCCCACAAAUGCAGAUGUGGUGAAAAUCUCAUCGUUCCUUCAUGAAACUGGCAACAGGGAAGUGCAGCUCCUACACUCUGCUAAGGGCCAUGAAAUUACACCAGCUUGGAAGAAAUUAAAUGAAGUCACACUGUGCCAUCUCAUUAUCUUCAACCGCAGACGACAGGGGGAAGUAUCCAAAAUGAAACUGGAAGAUUUUCACAAGCGCAGUAGUGCAGCCAUUGUGAAAGGUGAUUGCGUGAUGACUGAUCUUGAACGCCACCUCUGUAAAAUGUUCCAAGUCAUUGAAAUAGUUGGUAAGAGGGGCAGAACUGUUCCUGUGCUUCUUGGUACUGAUGUGAUGGCGUGGUUGAAGGCUCUGGUCGCAAAUAGAAAUGCAGCUGGAGUGGCACAAGACAAUAUAUUCUUAUUCGCACGAAGUUGUUACGGAGGCUCAGGUCAUAUAUGAGGAAGCGACUGUCUACGAGCAUAUGCAAAUGAGGCGGGCCUUGAGAAUGCUGGUAGCAUGCGGUCUACAAAGCUUCGUAAACAUGUAGCGACUGUUUCACAAAUUCUGGCCUUGAAUGAACAUCAGCUUGAAACACUUGCAGACUUCAUGGGUCAUGAUUUGCGGGUCCAUCGCGAGUACUACCAGUUGCCAGACACUGUCCAGAGGGUUACCAAACUGUCUAGACUUUUCCUCAGCUUGGAGAGAGGCAACUUGGUUUCGCAACAUGGCAAAUCUUUGGAGGAGUUGCAUGUUACUGGAGAAGGCUUCACCAGCGAUGAGGACAGCAGUGAUUCAGGUGACUCGUGUGACCCAGCUUUGGAGGACAGUGUUGAUGCCAGAAGGCCACCAACCCAAACGGAUCCAGCUCCAAAAGCUCGACAAGUCAAGCGUCGACAUUUCAAGCGACGCCCCUGGACUGCCCAGGAAAAGAAAGACGUAACUGAGGGCUUGCAGAGAUUCAUUUUGCUGAAGAAGAUUCCAGGAAAACGUGACAUUGAAUCAUCCUGUCCUGUGGCAUUGCAGACCAGAACUUGGAAAAACAUUAAGGACUUUUGUAGAAACACGAUGACACUUAAACAAAGUUAAGGUCUCCUGCACCACCAAAGUACAGUCAUAACCUAGAGUGACUCUGUAGGCACAGCCAAAUGAUUAGUCUAGACCUUUGGCC